AACGUCCAUACCACGCUGGAUACACCGGUGCUCGUCCGAUCACCGAGUUAAAUGGCGUCGGCCGCGGUCAGUACUUGGAUGGGUGGACCGCCUGCGAACACCG